rnacentral:rRNA from 1 species
GAAAAUUACGGGCGAAAGCCUAAAACUCAAAAGACUUGACGGUGUCCUAAUCUACCUAGAGGGAGCCUGUUCCAUAAUCGAUAAUCCCCGAUAAACCCAACCACCUUUUGAAACCCCAGGCCUAUAUACCGCCGUCGACAGCCCACCUUCCAAAAGAAUUAAAGUAGGCCAAACAGGAUUUACUCUAAAAAGUCAGGUCAAGGUGUAGCUAAUAAGGUGGAGAUAAUGGGCGUACAUUUUUUAAAUUAAAACACCACACGAACCAGUACUUUGAAACAAGACUAUAAAGGGUGGAUUUAGCAGUAAGCUAAAAAAGAGUGCUUAGCUUAACAUAGCCCUAGGACACGGUACACACCGCCCGUCACCCUCCUCAACAACACAAAACACCUAAAUAAAAGCACAUAGCCAUAACUAGAUGAGGCAAGUCGUAACAAGGUAAGCGUACUGGAAAGUGGCGCUUAGACAAC